rnacentral:rRNA from 1 species
CGGCGGUGGCUGCAUACGUAUACCAGCGAGUCGAGCGGACAGAUCCGGAGCUUGCUCCCUGAUGUUAGCGGCGGACGGGUGAGUAACACGUGGGUAACCUGCCUGUAAGACUGGGAUAACUCCGGGAAACCGGGGCUAAUACCGGAUGCUUAUUUGAACCGCAUGGUUCAAAUAUAAAAGGUGGCUUCGGCUACCACUUACAGAUGGACCCGCGGCGCAUUAGCUAGUUGGUGAGGUAACGGCUCACCAAGGCAACGAUGCGUAGCCGACCUGAGAGGGUGAUCGGCCACACUGGGACUGAGACACGGCCCAGACUCCUACGGGAGGCAGCAGUAGGGAAUCUUCCGCAAUGGACGAAAGUCUGACGGAGCAACGCCGCGUGAGUGAUGAAGGUUUUCGGAUCGUAAAGCUCUGUUGUUAGGGAAGAACAAGUACCGUUCGAAUAGGGCGGUACCUUGACGGUACCUAACCAGAAAGCCACGGCUAACUACGUGCCAGCAGCCGCGGUAAUACGUAGGUGGCAAGCGUUGUCCGGAAUUAUUGGGCGUAAAGGGCUCGCAGGCGGUUUCUUAAGUCUGAUGUGAAAGCCCCCGGCUCAACCGGGGAGGGUCAUUGGAAACUGGGGAACUUGAGUGCAGAAGAGGAGAGUGGAAUUCCACGUGUAGCGGUGAAAUGCGUAGAGAUGUGGAGGAACACCAGUGGCGAAGGCGACUCUCUGGUCUGUAACUGACGCUGAGGAGCGAAAGCGUGGGGAGCGAACAGGAUUAGAUACCCUGGUAGUCCACGCCGUAACGAUGAGUGCUAAGUGUUAGGGGGUUUCCGCCCCUUAGUGCUGCAGCUAACGCAUUAAGCACUCCGCCUGGGGAGUACGGUCGCAAGACUGAAACUCAAGGAAUUGACGGGGGCCCGCACAAGCGGUGGAGCAUGUGGUUUAAUUCGAAGCACGCGAGACCUUACCAGUCUUGACAUCCUCUGACAUCUAGAGAUAGACGUCCCUUCGGGGCAGAGUGACAGUGUGCAUGGUGUCGUCAGCCUCGUGUCCUGGAUGAUGGGUAAGUUCCCGCACGACGCACCUUGAUCUUAUUGCAGCAUUCAGUGGACUCUUAGGGAACUGCGGUGACAACCGAGAAAGAGGGAUGAGUCAUCAUCUAUGGCCCUAGACCUGGUACACGUCAAUGGGGACAGUCGAGCGGGUGACAUCCAACUUUUCAUCGAUC